GACGAACGCUGGCGGCGUGCCUAAUACAUGCAAGUUGAGCGCUGAAGGUUGGUACUUGUACCAACUGGAUGAGCAGCGAACGGGUGAGUAACGCGUGGGGAAUCUGCCUUUGAGCGGGGGACAACAUUUGGAAACGAAUGCUAAUACCGCAUAAAAACUUUAAACACAAGUUUUAAGUUUGAAAGAUGCAAUUGCAUCACUCAAAGAUGAUCCCGCGUUGUAUUAGCUAGUUGGUGAGGUAAAGGCUCACCAAGGCGAUGAUACAUAGCCGAACUGGGAGGGUGAUCGGCCACAGUGGGACUGAGACACGGCCCAAACUCCUACGGGAGGCAGCAGUAGGGAAUCUUCGGCAAUGGACGAAAGUCUGACCGAGCAACGCCGCGGGAGUGAAGAAGGUUUUCGGAUCGUAAAACUCUGUUGGUAGAGAAGAACGUUGGUGAGAGUGGAAAGCUCAUCAAGUGACGGUAACUACCCAGAAAGGGACGGCUAACUACGUG
rnacentral:rRNA from 1 species